rnacentral:rRNA from 1 species
GAUGAACGCUAGCGACAGGCCUAACACAUGCAAGUCGAGGGGCAGCACAUGAGUAGCAAUACGAUGGUGGCGACCGGCGCACGGGUGAGUAACACGUAUGCAACCUGCCUUCUACUAUGGGAUAACCCGUUGAAAGACGGACUAAUACCGUAUAAUACAGGGGCUCCGCAUGGAGAUAUUUGUUAAAGAUUUAUUGGUAGAAGAUGGGCAUGCGUAUGAUUAGAUAGUUGGUGAGGUAACGGCUCACCAAGUCAACGAUCAUUAGAGGUGCUACGAGGAAGGCCCCCAACAAUGGUACGGAAACACGUACCAGACUCCAACGGGAGGCAGCACUGAGGAAUAUUGGUCAAUGGACGAGAGUCUGAACCAGCCAAGUCGCGUGAAGGAAGACGGUUCUAUGAAUUGUAAACUUCUUUUGUGCAGGAAUAAAGUGGGUUACGUGUAACCUUUUGUAUGUACUGUACGAAUAAGGAUCGGCUAACUCCGUGCCAGCCGCCGCGGUAAAAC